GGGGCAGCUUACCAUGCAGUCGAACGAUGAACCGCUUUCGGGCGGGGAUUAGUGGCGAACGGGUGAGUAACACGUGGGCAAUCUGCCCUGCACUCUGGGACAAGCCCUGGAAACGGGGUCUAAUACCGGAUAUGACUGUCCGCCGCAUGGUGGAUGGUGUAAAGCUCCGGCGGUGCAGGAUGAGCCCGCGGCCUAUCAGCUUGUUGGUGAGGUAGUGGCUCACCAAGGCGACGACGGGUAGCCGGCCUGAGAGGGCGACCGGCCACACUGGGACUGAGACACGGCCCAGACUCCUACGGGAGGCAGCAGUGGGGAAUAUUGCACAAUGGGCGAAAGCCUGAUGCAGCGACGCCGCGUGAGGGAUGACGGCCUUCGGGUUGUAAACCUCUUUCAGCAGGGAAGAAGCGAGAGUGACGGUACCUGCAGAAGAAGCGCCGGCUAACUACGUGCCAGCAGCCGCGGUAAUACGUAGGGCGCAAGCGUUGUCCGGAAUUAUUGGGCGUAAAGAGCUCGUAGGCGGCUUGUCACGUCGGUUGUGAAAGCCCGGGGCUUAACCCCGGGUCUGCAGUCGAUACGGGCAGGCUAGAGUUCGGUAGGGGAGAUCGGAAUUCCUGGUGUAGCGGUGAAAUGCGCAGAUAUCAGGAGGAACACCGGUGGCGAAGGCGGAUCUCUGGGCCGAUACUGACGCUGAGGAGCGAAAGCGUGGGGAGCGAACAGGAUUAGAUACCCUGGUAGUCCACGCCGUAAACGGUGGGCACUAGGUGUGGGCAACAUUCCACGUUGUCCGUGCCGCAGCUAACGCAUUACUGCCCCGCCUGGGGAGUACGGCCGCAAGGCUAAAACUCA
rnacentral:rRNA from 1 species